GGUUGGAUGGCCGAGUGGUCUAAGGCGCUAGAAUCAGGUGUUUCUUUAUCUAGUCCUCCGGGGCGUGGGUUCGAAUCCCACUCCAAUCA